GAGUAGCUGGGAUUACAGGCGCGCGCCACCACGCUCGGCUAAUUUUUGUAUUUGUUUAGUAGAGACGGGGGUUUCACCAUGUUGGCCAGGCUGGUCUCGAAUGCCUGACCUCAGGCGAUCCACCCGCCUGGGCCUCCCAAAGUGCUGAGAUUACAGGCGUGAGACACCGCGCCCGGCCGGAAAGUGGCUAUUUUAAGAAGAUUGAGAACAUGUUUCGUUGGGUCGCAUUAUUCUGCGUGACGAGGCUCACAGAGGAGAACCCCACCCUUACUCCAAAGGCCUUUGAAAGCAGCUCUGGAAAGGGCAGGGUUUGCUUCUCCCUCUGCCCAACGUCUCCCCAGGCUGCCUGUGCCACCUUCCGGUCUCACCUCCUCGGAGUUGGGGUCAAACGCGGAGCUCCAGUUUCUCAGCCCCUCCUGGAGCUCAAUGAUGUCCACCACGCCGUCCCCAUUGCAAUCCAGGUCUUCGAAGAGGAUCCCGUAGCGUAAGUAGUCAUCGUUAUCCUGGCAGGCCACCGCCUCCAGCACGAAGCCCUGCAUCCAGAGCAGCAUGGCUGGGUCCAGAGGCUGCGGGGACCACUCGGCCACCCAGCCAGCACCGCAGCACUCGCCGCCGCCUCCUCGACGCCUGGCUGCGCAAGGCAGGGGGUCCCGGCCGUCCGCCAGCUUCUGCAACUGUCUAGCGGAGCCGCCGCAGUUCGGAGCCCACGCGGGCCAAGCCACCCGCGCCUGCGGGCUCUUGGGCGCCACGGAAAGGCUGCGCCACCUUGUGGGACCUCUGGCCGAGGCGCCACGCGACAGUUGAGACGCCAGAUGUGAGUUGAGGUGCCAGACGUGAGUUGAGGUGCCAGACGUGGCGGCGUUGGGUACCCAGGACCCUCGGACGGGUCUGCUGCGGCUUGCUGGGGGUCCACUCCAGACCCUGUUCGCCUGGGUAUCACCAGUGGAGUUUGCAGAACAGCAAAGAUUGCUGCUUGCUCCUUCCUCCAGAAGCUUCUUCCCACAGUGGCAUCAACCUGAUUGAUGUCAGCCGGAACUCUCCUGCAUGAGGUGUCUGGCGACCCCUGAUGGGAAGUCUCACCCAGUCAAGAAGCACGGGACUGGAAGGGGGACCUCCUUACGGAGGCAGACUGACUGUCCCUUAGCAGAGCUGGUGCACUGUAUUGGAGGAAUAACCCUCCUUGGGAUCAGCUGGUCUCUUCAGAGCCAGCAGGCAGGAAAGAUUAAGUCUGCUGAACCUCGGACCAUGGCCGCCGCUCCCCCGAGGUGCUCUGUCCCAGGGAGAUUAGAGUUCUUGUCUGUAAGCCCCUGACUGUAGCUACUGGAAUUCCUGCAGGGAUGCCCUCCAGGUGAGGAGGGAUGGCUUCGGGUCCCACCUAGGAAGCAGUCUGGCCACGAUCUGCAACAGCCACUUUGCUGCGUUGUGGGGAAUUCCACCCAGUCCAAACCUCCUAGUCUCCUUAGCACUGUCAGGGGAAAACCUCCAACUAAAGCCUCAGUAAUGACGGUCGCCCCUCCCCCUGGGAACUGAGUUGUCCCAGGCGGACUCCAGACUGCUGUGCCGGCAGCGGGGAUUUCAAGCCAGUGGUUCUUAGCUUGCGGGGUUUCCGUGGGAGUGGGACCCUCUGAGCGAGACCACUUGGCUCCCUGGCUACAGCCCCCUUUCCACAGAAGUGGACAUUUCUCCUGCCUCACUGGAGUUCCAGGUGCUGCCGGAGUAUGUAAAAAUUCCUGCAGCUCAGUGCCUGCCCAAACAGCCGCCGACGGGAGCAGCUGUCAUUGGUCUGCCCAGUUUUGUAUUUGAGACCCAGGGCACUGGUGGUUGUAGGCUCCCGAGGGGAUCUGCUGAUCUGUGGAUUGCAAAAAUCUGUGGGAAAAGCUUAGUACCCUUGGUGGGUAGCACUGUCCCUCACCACUUCCCUUGGCUGGGGAGGGAGGUCCCCCUGCCCUGUGCAGUUCCUGGGUGAAGCAAUACCCUGCUUCUUCUCGCUCUCUGUGGGUCAUGCCGACCAUCUAGUCAGUCCCAGUGAGAUGAACUGGGUAUCUCAGUUGGAAAUGCAGAAAUCACCCACAUUCCUCGUUCCUCUCGCUGGCAGCUGCAGACCAGAGCUGCUUCUAGUCGGCAGUCUUGGCCCCUCCCCGCCGAGGUAAGUUUAAUAAGUCUUCUAAAUUUGUCCUUGCCAUAAUGAUCAGUGAUGAUCUGUCUUUUAAUAAGUUAAAUGCUUUCCAGACUUCAAGACUCUCACCCACAUCAAAAAUAAAAUUAUAUAUCGGCCAUAUUACCAGGAUUUUAGAAUGUUGUAUUUUAUCCUCUAAUUAUAGGUCAAAUAACUAAGGUAGAAAGGAGUAAAGCAACUUCCAUGUAUGUAGUGAGGAUGUUGGGGGGUCUGGGACUAAAAUUCUGCCUUGGGAUUCCCAAGAGGUUGGUGAUUAUGAUUUUUGUACUCUUAGACACAAAAUAAAAUAACAUUCUGUUUUGUUC
ensembl:lncRNA novel transcript